GACAGAGGGUGCAAACGUUGUUCGGAAUUACUGGGCGUAAAGCGCGUGUAGGCUGCUUGGAAAGUCGGAUGUGAAAGCCCUGGGCUCAACCUAGGAAGUGCAUUCGAAACUUCUGAGCUUGAGUAUCGGAGAGGAAGGCGGAACUCUCGGUGUAGAGGUGAAAUUCGUAGAUAUCGAGAGGAACACCGGUGGCGAAGGCGGCCUUCUGGACGAUUACUGACGCUGAGGUGCGAAAGCGUGGGGAGCAAACAGG
rnacentral:rRNA from 1 species